GGUUAAGCGACUAAGCGUACACGGUGGAUGCCCUGGCAGUCAGAGGCGAUGAAGGACGUGCUAAUCUGCGAUAAGCGUCGGUAAGGUGAUAUGAACCGUUAUAACCGGCGAUUUCCGAAUGGGGAAACCCAGUGUGUUUCGACACACUAUCAUUAACUGAAUCCAUAGGUUAAUGAGGCGAACCGGGGGAACUGAAACAUCUAAGUACCCCGAGGAAAAGAAAUCAACCGAGAUUCCCCCAGUAGCGGCGAGCGAACGGGGAGCAGCCCAGAGCCUGAAUCAGUGUGUGUGUUAGUGGAAGCGUCUGGAAAGGCGCGCGAUACAGGGUGACAGCCCCGUACACAAAAAUGCACAUGCUGUGAGCUCGAUGAGUAGGGCGGGACACGUGGUAUCCUGUCUGAAUAUGGGGGGACCAUCCUCCAAGGCUAAAUACUCCUGACUGACCGAUAGUGAACCAGUACCGUGAGGGAAAGGCGAAAAGAACCCCGGCGAGGGGAGUGAAAAAGAACCUGAAACCGUGUACGUACAAGCAGUGGGAGCACGCUUAGGCGUGUGACUGCGUACCUUUUGUAUAAUGGGUCAGCGACUUAUAUUCUGUAGCAAGGUUAACCGAAUAGGGGAGCCGAAGGGAAACCGAGUCUUAACUGGGCGUUAAGUUGCAGGGUAUAGACCCGAAACCCGGUGAUCUAGCCAUGGGCAGGUUGAAGGUUGGGUAACACUAACUGGAGGACCGAACCGACUAAUGUUGAAAAAUUAGCGGAUGACUUGUGGCUGGGGGUGAAAGGCCAAUCAAACCGGGAGAUAGCUGGUUCUCCCCGAAAGCUAUUUAGGUAGCGCCUCGUGAAUUCAUCUCCGGGGGUAGAGCACUGUUUCGGCAAGGGGGUCAUCCCGACUUACCAACCCGAUGCAAACUGCGAAUACCGGAGAAUGUUAUCACGGGAGACACACGGCGGGUGCUAACGUCCGUCGUGAAGAGGGAAACAACCCAGACCGCCAGCUAAGGUCCCAAAGUCAUGGUUAAGUGGGAAACGAUGUGGGAAGGCCCAGACAGCCAGGAUGUUGGCUUAGAAGCAGCCAUCAUUUAAAGAAAGCGUAAUAGCUCACUGGUCGAGUCGGCCUGCGCGGAAGAUGUAACGGGGCUAAACCAUGCACCGAAGCUGCGGCAGCGACGCUUAUGCGUUGUUGGGUAGGGGAGCGUUCUGUAAGCCUGCGAAGGUGUGCUGUGAGGCAUGCUGGAGGUAUCAGAAGUGCGAAUGCUGACAUAAGUAACGAUAAAGCGGGUGAAAAGCCCGCUCGCCGGAAGACCAAGGGUUCCUGUCCAACGUUAAUCGGGGCAGGGUGAGUCGACCCCUAAGGCGAGGCCGAAAGGCGUAGUCGAUGGGAAACAGGUUAAUAUUCCUGUACUUGGUGUUACUGCGAAGGGGGGACGGAGAAGGCUAUGUUGGCCGGGCGACGGUUGUCCCGGUUUAAGCGUGUAGGCUGGUUUUCCAGGCAAAUCCGGAAAAUCAAGGCUGAGGCGUGAUGACGAGGCACUACGGUGCUGAAGCAACAAAUGCCCUGCUUCCAGGAAAAGCCUCUAAGCAUCAGGUAACAUCAAAUCGUACCCCAAACCGACACAGGUGGUCAGGUAGAGAAUACCAAGGCGCUUGAGAGAACUCGGGUGAAGGAACUAGGCAAAAUGGUGCCGUAACUUCGGGAGAAGGCACGCUGAUAUGUAGGUGAAGUCCCUCGCGGAUGGAGCUGAAAUCAGUCGAAGAUACCAGCUGGCUGCAACUGUUUAUUAAAAACACAGCACUGUGCAAACACGAAAGUGGACGUAUACGGUGUGACGCCUGCCCGGUGCCGGAAGGUUAAUUGAUGGGGUCAGCGCAAGCGAAGCUCUUGAUCGAAGCCCCGGUAAACGGCGGCCGUAACUAUAACGGUCCUAAGGUAGCGAAAUUCCUUGUCGGGUAAGUUCCGACCUGCACGAAUGGCGUAAUGAUGGCCAGGCUGUCUCCACCCGAGACUCAGUGAAAUUGAACUCGCUGUGAAGAUGCAGUGUACCCGCGGCAAGACGGAAAGACCCCGUGAACCUUUACUAUAGCUUGACACUGAACAUUGAGCCUUGAUGUGUAGGAUAGGUGGGAGGCUUUGAAGUGUGGACGCCAGUCUGCAUGGAGCCGGCCUUGAAAUACCACCCUUUAAUGUUUGAUGUUCUAACGUUGACCCGUGAUCCGGGUUGCGGACAGUGUCUGGUGGGUAGUUUGACUGGGGCGGUCUCCUCCUAAAGAGUAACGGAGGAGCACGAAGGUUGGCUAAUCCUGGUCGGACAUCAGGAGGUUAGUGCAAUGGCAUAAGCCAGCUUGACUGCGAGCGUGACGGCGCGAGCAGGUGCGAAAGCAGGUCAUAGUGAUCCGGUGGUUCUGAAUGGAAGGGCCAUCGCUCAACGGAUAAAAGGUACUCCGGGGAUAACAGGCUGAUACCGCCCAAGAGUUCAUAUCGACGGCGGUGUUUGGCACCUCGAUGUCGGCUCAUCACAUCCUGGGGCUGAAGUAGGUCCCAAGGGUAUGGCUGUUCGCCAUUUAAAGUGGUACGCGAGCUGGGUUUAGAACGUCGUGAGACAGUUCGGUCCCUAUCUGCCGUGGGCGCUGGAGAACUGAGGGGGGCUGCUCCUAGUACGAGAGGACCGGAGUGGACGCAUCACUGGUGUUCGGGUUGUCAUGCCAAUGGCACUGCCCGGUAGCUAAAUGCGGAAGAGAUAAGUGCUGAAAGCAUCUAAGCACGAAACUUGCCCCGAGAUGAGUUCUCCCUGACUCCUUGAGAGUCCUGAAGGAACGUUGAAGACGACGACGUUGAUAGGCCGGGUGUGUAAGCGCAGCGAUGCGUUGAGCUAACCGGUACUAAUGAACCGUGAGGCUUAACCUU
rnacentral:rRNA from 1 species